GUUGCUAAUCGGCAAGGUAUGUGUGUGCCCUAAACAGAAGGGUAGCCAGCUUCCUUCCUGCUCCUGCUCCUCUUUUUCUCCACCCUAACCGCUUCUGCUGCUGCUGGUGUUUGAGCUGUUCCCCCACCUUGGGGACUCAGGAGCUGGGCCUCCACUACCUGGGGAUACUGCUAGAUGGAACAGCAGCCCAGCUCCUCCACAAAGGCUAGGAUGCCCACAGCACUCUGCAGUGGUACAUUUAGACUGCCUGGGCCCCACUUAUUGGAUGUAUAACUUGAUUUCUCUGGUGUAGAAUGGGAAUUGGCAACAUUCCCUGCCUCUCCGUGUUGCUGUGAGAUGAAAUGAACAGAAUGUGUACAGCAUUGGAGCAGCACCAGGAUUCAUGUUGGUCGUUAUUAUUGCCAUUAUUAUUGCUACUGGAACUAGCACCACUAUUGUCUCGCUGCUGUCCAUUCUUUAGAAAGUCUUAGCAUAGAAAAAGUAGAAGAUGGAUGUUGAGAUCUCCUUAUCCAAGCACCUAAUUUUAAAAUAAAAGAGACAUUCUUGAAGAUGUCCAGUUAGGUAUCAUGGCAGAGCCACACAUGGCUCCAACACCCUGGCCACGGGAACACUGCUUGGGGCACCCCUUGUCCUCCUUUCUUAUCCCACUGAAUGCCUGCAACAAGGUAUUUAAUAUUUACAUUGCUUCUAAUGCUGUCCCACCAUGUGACUUAUUCUGCCUUGCUGAUGUCCAGAGGACAUAUAAUGCACACAUAACUUGCUCUGUCCCUUGCCCAUCACAGCAGCCAAAACAGAUAGAGGCCUGGAGAAGAGCUAUUUACAAGAGACAUCCCAAUGGUGAGGAUGACGUGGGGCAGUUAGAGGCAUGGGACUGGGUUCUUGACUUAGAUUCAAGGCAAUGUCAUGGGAUCCUUGUUCUUCAACUUCGCUUUUAGCUAAUGUGACAUUGUUUGAAAGUAAGCAUUUACAAAAGGAGAUUUGGGGAUAAGUUAGAAUACAGAGAGCAGUUUUUAGCCCUGGAGUCACAUGAUUCUGAUAUUUAUACAGAAAACACAGUAUCAUUUCCACCCAUUAGAUAAGAAGCAGGGGAAUCCAGGUUCCAGGGAUGCUGUGGGUAUUCUUGCAUACCAAGCUAGGGGGAUUUAAGAAGAACCCUUCAAGAAGGAGGUGCAGACAUUCCCCAAACAUUUCAGUAGCCCAUUGGCCUUAUUUCUGGUAUCUUCACCACAUCAGCUGUUUAGAAACCACGUUGACUAACUGUCAGGUGCCUGGUGGGCUGUGUGUGCUAGGAAGGACUCCAAAAUGGGUGCAUCAAGAUCCUAGCUUUUAAAAAGCUUUCAAUUUAGUUGGGGAGAUAAGCUGUUAGCAGCUUUAAUGACAGUUCAGGACAUCCCAACAUAGCACAGGGCGAGGACCAAAUAAAUUAUAGCCCCAGGCUGCUGUGACAAGGCCCUUGUGCAGAGAGUCAGGAGGAGAGAGCUCUGCUCCUAGGAAUCCCAGCGUCGUGCUCUGUGACCUGGGUCAUCCUUGAC
rnacentral:lncRNA from 1 species